CCUACGGGUUGCAGCAGUGGGGAAUAUUGCACAAUGGGCGCAAGUCUGAUGCAGCCACGCCGCGUGUAUGAAGAAGGCCUUCGGGCUGUAAACUACUUUCAGCGGGGAGGAAGGCGAUAAGGUUAAUAACCUUGUCGAUUGACGCUACCCGCAGAAGAAGCACCGGCUAACUCCGUGCCAGCAGCCGCGGUAAUACGGAGGGUGCAAGCGUUAAUCGGAAUUACUGGGCGUAAAGCGCACGCAGGCGGUCUGUCAAGUCGGAUGUGAAAUCCCCGGGCUCAACCUGGGAACUGCAUUCGGAACUGGCAGGCUAGAGUCUUGUAGAGGGGGGUAGAAUUCCAGGUGUAGCGGUGAAAUGCGUAGAGAUCUGGAGGAAUACCGGUGGCGAGGGCGGCCCCCUGGACAAAGACUGACGCUCAGGUGCGAAAGCGUGGGGAGCAAACAGGAUUAGAUACCCUUGUAGUC
rnacentral:rRNA from 1 species